rnacentral:rRNA from 1 species
GACGAACGCUGGCGGCGUGCUUAACACAUGCAAGUCGAACGACGUGGCGAACGGGUGAGUAACGCGUAAUCAACCUGCCCUUCAGAGGGGGGCAACAGUUGGAAACGACUGCUAAUACCGCAUACGGCAGGAGGGGAGUGCGUCUGAUUAGCUAGUAGGUAGGGUAAUGGCCUACCUAGGCGACGAUACAUCGCCGACCUGAGAGGGUGAACGGCCACAUUGGGACUGAGACACGGCCCAGACUCUUACGGGAGGCAGCAGUGUGGAAUCUUCCGCAAUGGACGAAAGUCUGACGGAGCAACGCCGCGUGAGUGAUGACGGCCUUCGGGUUGUAAAGCGCUGUUAAUCGGGACGCGGUACCGGAAUAGAAAGCCACGGCUAACUACGUGCCAGCAGCCGCGGUAAUAC